UCUUGCUGCGUCACCGCAUUGGCUGCACUGGCUCUGAGAUGUGGGCUCUGGACUGAGCAGGGCUCCUGGCUUCAAGGCUUCUCAUCGAUGAGCUCCAACCCCCUAGUGAGUCCUCUCAUCCAUCUGUCUUCUUACACAACUUCCUGAUGCCGUCCCUGAAGAACUGUAAUUGAAGGCAGAGACUCCAUUUAUUUCCUCCCACUACUCAGUCAACUCCCUCCAACAAGACCAUGCCUUGCUAUAGUACCAGGGACUGCUCAGAGUGGAGCGCCUUUUAGCAAAUGAUGGAACGCUGAAAAUAGAUCUGAAGGGAAGGCAUCUUCUGAAUAUGCCGAGUUCCAGCUGGCAGGAUGCAAUGUUUUUUCUCCUGCCUCCGUUGUCAUCUUUGGUACCCAAUGCCUGACUACACAAACAAAUCAGCUGGAGUUAAUGCCCUGCCUCCCUCUCUAGCGUCUGGUCUGUCUUGUCUGCUCACCACCUGGCCCUGCCACAUCUAAGCUCAUUAACCCACUGGCAGCAAGGAGGCCAAUGGAAGCAAGAGAACAAAGGAGAAGCCAAGAGGGCUCUACAGACAGACAAGCCUGUGGCUCUGAUGCCUGGGUUCACCCUCUCUCUAUCAGAGACACUGCGCACCAACCACUUAGCCUCUGGAGUAUAGUGAGCAUGUCUUCACAUGUAAUUAUCAGUAAUUUUGUAAGGGGAACACCUUGAAUCCUGCUUAUUCAAGUCAAUACACAACCUAUUUCAGUUAUUGCCAUCAGGUUGUAUUGUUAUUCUGUAUGUGACCUCAUAUAACAUCAUGUCAUAGCAUAUCCCUCAGACCAGAUAUAUAAGAUUGCAGAGCAAUUUUACAUAUAGUAGUGUUGUACAUAGACAGUCAUGUAUGGAUUGAUUGUACACAUCAUCUAAUCUUUGCCAGUGGGCAUUUUGGCCAAAGUCACAUGUUCCUCUGAGUCAGACCUGACCUUUGGUUUUUUUCUCCUGUGCACACAGAAAGUACAACCCAAUGCUAUACUUGUCCUUCCCCCUAAACAAUGUUCAGUCUGUAACAGCUGACCUCCUUCCCGUUCGGGAGAGGCCCUCUGAGUUCUGAGUCCUUCUGUGAGCUUUCCCUGAAAGAUUAUCAGUCUCAUCUACCGACCUGACUGCCCCCCUUCCUCCACAGCACUCCCGACUCUCACUUACGUCCACAUACUGAGAUGAACCUCUGUUUGAAUCAUGGACGUUUCGGUUAUUACAGCUCAAGGAUGGGCCAGAGUUAGUGUGAAAGCAUGUCUUCCUCCCUGCUCCAAGGUGGCUGAGGCCAGGGCAUCAUCAUGGAAAGGUUGGGGUUUUCUAGCAGCCUUAGGGCCUGGCUUCACUCUGAGGAGGGAAGGAAUGUGCAACCUUGGCAGAGAAAAUUUGGUAGAGGGGUAUAACUCUGGGCCUUAGUCUUGUAACGAACACUGUUGAUUGGCACCUCCCCUUUCCAUCCUGUCCUCUAGGCUGUAGAAUCCCCAGAGCAGCCACUCAAGAAAGGAGGAGCCCUUCU